rnacentral:rRNA from 2 species
CAGUGGGGAAUAUUGCACAAUGGGCGAAAGCCUGAUGCAGCGACGCCGCGUGAGGGAUGACGGCCUUCGGGUUGUAAACCUCUUUCAGCACUGAAGAAGCGAAAGUGACGGUACGUGCAGAAGAAGCGCCGGCUAAAUACGUGCCCGCAGCCGCGGUAAUACGUAGGGCGCCAGCGUUGUCCGGAAUUAUUGGGCGUAAAGAGCUCGUAGGCGGUUUGUCGCGUCUGCUGUGAAAGCCCGCGGCUUAACCCCGGGUGUGCAGUGGGUACGGGCAGACUUGAGUGCAGUAGGGGAGACUGGAAUUCCUGGUGUAGCGGUGAAAUGCGCAGAUAUCAGGAGGAACACCGAUGGCGA